UACGGGGGGAGCAAGCGUUGUUCGGAUUUACUGGGCGUAAAGCGCGUGUAGGCGGUCCGGUAAGUCCGCUGUGAAAGUCGGGGGCUCAACCCUCGAAUGCCGGUGGAUACUGUCGGGCUAGAGUGCGGAAGAGGCGAGUGGAAUUCCUGGUGUAGCGGUGAAAUGCGCAGAUAUCAGGAGGAACACCGGUGGCGAAGGCGGGUCUCUGGGCCGAUACUGACGCUGAGGAGCGAAAGCGUGGGGAGCGAACAGG
rnacentral:rRNA from 1 species